GCGGUGUCUGACGUGCAUGCGAAGUAGAUGGUCUGCACAUCCAGUUCUCCAUGAAAGUUUAUAUCAGAUUAUUUGAGAUUUGAUCUCUGGUUCUGCUGCUAUUCAGGUAAGAAUUUGAUCUUUAAUCAUGUAAAAGAAUAAAAAAAUUUUCAGAUGCAAUCUGGACCUUCUGAAGAGAAAUUGUUUCUCUUUCCUUCAACUGACCACAAGCCAGAUAAGGCAACCACAACUAUCUAAUCCCAAGAAAUCAAGUCAAAAAUCUCAGGAUAGCAUGUUCGAAGGAGUUAGAGUGACAUCCAAUCCUUUCAUCUUAUGGCUCUCACCUC
rnacentral:lncRNA from 1 species